UCAGGCUGCUGGAAGAUGGUCGUAUUACCACCAAAAGUCCCCAUGAGUAGGAAUUGGCUCAGUGAUGACGACUGCAGUCGGUAGGUUUACGGAGGCUAAUUAAACACCGGAGCCCGGGGCUGGAAGCCUCUCCGACUCAGCUGCGGUGAUUAGACCACGGGGCAUAAUGGCUUUGCUAAGGUAUAAACGGCCUCCUCCACCAGGAGGAAGCGAGCUAAAGCUCCACCAGCGACGUGAUUCCAGGGCCGGGCCUUCAGAGCCCAAGGAAUUUUGACAAAGGAAACCUGACAGAGGAAUUUGAGACUCUUCUGGAUGCAAGCAACAGAGCGGGGAAUCUAUUUUGGAUGAAGCCUGGGCAGCGGUGUCUGAGGCAGGAGGCUGGGCAGCAGCUCCAGGCGGCUUCAAAGCAAGGAGUUCUGCUUUCUCAGGGUCCAGGCGCAAGGCUGGAUGCACCGAGCAGCCCAGAUGCAGCACUUGCCGUCCUCCGUGGGCACCAUUCUGUCAUCGCUGUCCUCUCGCUAAUGGCUGAGAGCACAACCAAAGCUCCCCCGCUGCGUCCAGAGAGUCAUGGAAGCGCCUUAGGAACCUCUGAGCCUGGUGUCUGGCUUGUUGCAGAUUCUUCGUCAAUGUUACUAUUUACUCUUUCCUCUCUCAUUAUGU